UGUUAUCAGCGUGACCUUGACAUAUAAGUGGGGAAGGGACAUGUAGGUUUGAGUCCAGACCCUUGUCAUCUUGAGUAUCUGGGACUUUCUCCGUCCUGGCUAAGAACACGGACAAGAGGAGGGAUUUGUUUUCAAAGGUUACCAUUAGCGGUUCACUCGCUGAGGUUGGGAAUUUCUUAGUUUUAUAUUUCGUGAAAUUCAUGAUUUAAUUAUACUCCUCAAACAAAUUAAGGGCAGGCCUUCUACACAAAUUGGAGGCAGCUAAAUGCUCUUUUGUGCCUGCAGCUCUCGGAUUGUUAAAGAGGCUGCUGAUGCAUGAGGAGAAGUGACUGAUUUAACUCAUUGGGAUGCAGGAAGCGACCUGCCCUCUUUUGAAAAAAAGUGAGAGAGAAAGAGAGAGAGAGAGAGAGAGAGAGAGAGAGAGAGAGAGAGAGAGAGAGAGCGCACUAGCUAUAGAAGAGCAAGAGGGUGAGUGACAGAGGAGAGGAGAGGAGAAGAGAGGAGAAGAGAAACACAAGGGGGUGUGUGUGUGCCGUACUCCCUCUUUGCGACAUUGAAAGCUUCUGAAUUUCAAGCAGUAAGUGGAAGGAGCUCCACACAGCAAUAUUCCUCUUUCCUUGGGCUGCGUGUGCAGAGCGUAGACAAUGAAAAUCUCCGCCCCCUCCCCCAUCCUCUCUAGUCUACAAGAUUUUUUUCUUUCCUUCACAACGAUCGAAGCUAUGUAAAAUCAAAUAUACAGAGAUGUACACACGUUUUUUCAAACCACAGACUAACAAACCAAAGGACCUGACCGCGGAUUAUCCAAGUGCGCACCUGCUGGAGAGCGCUCUGGGGUCUCAGCACAAAACCAGCUCUUGAGCCCUUUGGCUUCCUUCAAGCGAGCGCAGUCCGUCCAUCCCUCCUGGCCCACCCAGCCGCAAGGGAUGCUGUGAAAAGAGCCGCUGCCUGCCGCCUCCGGCCCGCCGUCCAGAGGGCUCCGCCCGUAGAGGUCAACUCCCCUCAUUCUUCUUUCCAUCUUGCCCUCCCUCCGCCGAUCCCAGACUCGAAUCUUCCCCUGACUCCCGCCGCAGUCAGAGAGAGCGCAUCUGCUGCGCUGCCCUUAAAUCUACGCCCGGAGCGGGCUCAGACCCGAUCUCUGCUCUUCAGAGCCGGAGGAAGCCCGAGCAAGCAGCCUUUACUCUCCGCAGUAAAAUCAUAGCCAGACCAGAUGGGCCCCAGCUCUCCCGGGACUCGGCAGGUGCUGUUGAGUUAAUUUUUCUGCAAUACAAAGAAGGAGGACCCGGUCGGCCUGGGAUUCUGAUCUUUUACCAAAUUUUCCUAACCAAAAUCGGGCUAUCAAAGGCAUAUACGUGUGUUUGUCGGACAAACAAACACGCAAGAUUAUAUCCGCUUUUAUAUCUGCUAGAUUCCUUCUCUGACAGCAGGGAAUGAGUGACAAAGAUUUCUGCCGCAGAACACUCAUGGCGCGGUCCUUAAAGACUUGCCUUUUCUUACAAAUGUCUUAGGAAGGGAUUCGGGGCGAACCAACUCAGUUAAUUGCCUUCAGUAAAAUAACACGAUUGCGAAAUUAGAUCUGUACCAGAGGGGUAAUUAACUUCGAUCUAUGUCAUCAUUUGGAAACUAGAUUUAUAGACACACGUAUGGGUUUUAGGUGCACAGUAAAUGGCAUGCAGAUAUAUGCAUAAGUAUCGCAGACUCCUGCACCCUCUACUCUUCAACCACGCAGACUAAUUAAUGGCAACUCUGGCAGAUGUGGCAGUAGGAAAGCUGAGGUGGGAGUAUUGCUCUGAGUUAGAACCCUAGGAGUAGGGACUUCAAGCCUCGAACUGCAAGGGAGGGUGAAGGGCAGAGAGAAAAGUAUAGUGGUUGCAGUGAGUCAGUUGCUUCUAGAUCAAGAUCAGACUCUGCUCUCCGUGUUCACAGCGGACCUUGAUUUAAUGUCAUACAAUUAAGGCACGCGGUGAAUGCCAAGAGCGGAGCCUACGGCUGCACUUGAAGGACAUCAGAGAGAUGUCAGAAAGGGUGGGGAGAAACAAUUGCAGACUUCUAGAAUGAACCCAUCCUGUGCGGCACACGGACCCCUCGCAUGAAUCAAAAUCAUUAGAAUGCAAGACAGUCAUAUGUUUUUCAGCGAGAAUCCGGGAAAUCCGCAUGCAUAUCCCCAAGGGGAAUAUUAGAGGUUUCAUUGACAGCUGUCAGGAGAGUUGUAGUUCCCAUUGGUGAAAAUGGUCUAAGAGUCAGCGUUCAGAAAGCGCUGGCCUUUUCAAAAUAAAAUAGAUUGAGAUUGUUCACAA